AAUAACUGGUCACCCUGGAGUCACUAACACUUGGACUUUUUUAUCACAUGCAUUUGGUGACAUAAUGCUAAAGAAGAUAUGCAGAAUUCUGUAGUCACUUGAAAAAAUUGCAUUCAAAACAACUCAGUAUAUCUCACAUUUUUGGAGGACAUUCUACUUUGAAUGCUCUGCUCUGCUAGAUGGUACCAGACUUCUGGAGUGGUGGACCUAUGGAAAAGACCUCUGGAGUGGUACCAAGAAAAUUGGUAUGACCUGUUACUCAAAGCUGUAUUUUCUAGGAACAGUGCUACCCAUUCAGCUUCUGAUCACAGACCAUUUUCAUUAAUUAAGGAUUCC